rnacentral:rRNA from 1 species
GCAUAAUCAAUAGUUUUUUAAUUGAAAACUGGAAUGAAGGGUAGAUACUGAAAGGAAUGUUUUAUUUUGUUAAUUUGAAUUUAAAUUAAAAGUAAAAAUGCUUUUGUUAAUUUCUGGGACGAGAAGACCCUAGAAGUUUAAGUUUAAAUACUUUUGGUUGGGGUAACUUUAUGAAGAUAUUAAUUUUUAUGAAUUAAGUUUAUAUGGAAGCAAAUUACUCUAGGGAUAACAGCGUUAUAAUUUUAGCAAGUUCUUAUUAAUAAUAUUGUUUGCGACCUCGAUGUUGAAUUAAUU